rnacentral:rRNA from 1 species
UACGUAGGGUCCAAGCGUUAAUCGGAAUUACUGGGCGUAAAGCGUGCGCAGGCGGUUUGCUAAGACAGGUGUGAAAUCCCCGGGCUCAACCUGGGAACUGCGCUUGUAACUAGCAGGCUAGAGUGCGGCAGAGGGGGGUGGAAUUCCGCGUGUAGCAGUGAAAUGCGUAGAGAUGCGGAGGAACACCGAUGGCGAAGGCAGCCCCCUGGGCUAGCACUGACGCUCAGGCACGAAAGCGUGGGGAGCAAACAGG